rnacentral:rRNA from 1 species
GUUAGGAAUAUUGGGCAAUGGAGGAAACUCUGACCCAGCAACGCCGCGUGAAGGAUGAAGGUUUUCGGAUUGUAAACUUCUGUUCUAUGGGAAAAAACAAAUGAUGGUACCAUAGGAGAAAGCCACGGCUAACUACGUGCCAGCAGCCGCGGUAAUACGUAGGUGGCAAGCGUUGUUCGGAAUGACUGGGCGUAAAGGGAGCGUAGGUUGUUUUUUAAGUUAAAUGUGAAAGCCCGGGGCUUAACUCCGGAAUGCCAUUUAAUACUGGAAGACUAGAGUGCAGGAGGGGUGAGCGGAAUUCCUAGUGUAGCGGUGGAAUGCGUAGAUAUUAGGAAGAACACCAGAGGCGAAGGCGGCUCACUGGACUGUUACUGACACUGAGGCUCGAAAGCGUGGGGAGCAAACAGGAUUAGAAACCCUAGUAGUCC